rnacentral:tRNA from 1 species
GUUUUAGUAAUUUAAUAAAAAUAUUGAUCUUGUAAAUCAAAAAUAAAAUAACUUUCUAAAACU